CUUGCGGAGACUGGGCGCAGGGCGUGGGGGUCAGUGAGGGCGCGGUGGGUCAGCCCCAGCCCGGCUGGCAGUCGCGGGGCUGGGAAGGUAGGGAACCCUCCGCUCUCACCCCACUUCCUGUUUGGUCGGUGUGUUCUGUGACCAUAGAUGGUCAAGUCUGGGGCCGCGCGGAAGCCUCCGCCCUGUGGUUUUGGAGCCCUUCCUCCCGGCGCGCAGGGUGUGGUCCCCGAGAAUAAGAUGAGCAGAAUUAAAGCAGAUCCUGCACCCACUCUGCUGAAAUCCGGCUUCUGAGGCAGCCUCGCCCAGGGCUGGGUGGGCUCAGGCGGCUGCUACUCGGUUCAGGGGAGGUUACGCACGGUGGCUGCCGCGCGCAGGGGAGGCUUCGCUUCCGUACUCCUUGGGCCGGGAGAUCCGAUCUUUGUUCCCUCAAGACUCACACUCUCCAACCGGUCAUUAUCCUCCCACAAAGAUUUAUUUCUAGAAAAAAUUGGCAAGUGCCACAGUUCCCGCCCCUUCAGCUGAACGACUGUGACAGCUCCGUGUUUCAAGUUGAAUGCAGGCGUUAUGUGCCAGAGUCAAUCAUUCAACAAAUAAAGUUCUUAAAAUAACAGCUACCAUUUACUGCACGCUGACUACUUGCCAGGCCCAUGCUGAGUUCUUCAAGCGUAUUUUCAUUUACUCCUAAUAGCAACUCUCGGUGAGACAGAAGGAACAUAGACCAUACACGCAUUCUAGAGGAAGAGGAGAGAGAAGAGGAAGCAGGAAGGAGAAUGAAGAAAGUUUCCUCAUCAGGUGGGGAAUAUUAAUGGGGCUGUAAUGAGAAACGGAAGCAGUAAUGUAUGUGAAACCACUUUGUAAAAUGCUUCAUUAUAAAGAAUGCACACACGACUUAAGUUACAACCCCUGCCCUAAGGAAUGUCCAGUCUUUUAAGAAGUCUAGAUCCAUGCAUUUGUAACUCCAGUAGGAGAUGGGAAGAUAGUUUAAGAAUAUCCGUCACAUGAAGGGCUGGGCGCGGUGGCUCACACCUGUAAUCCCAGCAUUUUGGGAGGCCGAGGCGGGCAGAUAACGAGGUCAAGAGAUCAAGACCAGCCUGGCCAAUAUGGUGAAACCCCGUCUCUACUAAAAAAUACAAAAAUUAGCUGGGCGUGGUGGCAUGCGCCUGUAGUCCCAGCUAUUUGGGAGGCUGAGGCAGGAGAAUCGCUUGAACCCGGGAGGCAGAGGUUGCAGUAAGCUGAGAUCGUGCUUCUCUACUCUAGCCUGGCGACAGAGUGAGACUCUGUCUCAAAAAAAUAAAUAAAAGAAUAUCUGUCACAUGUAUUUAUGCACUGAAAAAAAACUAUUGAGCUACAUAGUAGCAAUUAUUGGAAGAGUUCAAUAAUUGCUAUGCUACUUUGUACCAAGCACAACUAGGGAUCCAGCAGUGGACAAGUCAGACCCUGUUACUGCUCUCAUGGAGCUUACAGUCUAUUUUGGAAAUGAUAUUUCCAUUUGGAGUGGUCAUCAGAAGAUACGCUGCCUUCUGUCUUCCAGCUUUUUCCUCCUCGCUGAUCUUGCCCCUUGUCCAGUACCCAGUGCUUCAUCCAUGAUAACUAUGGCCGUGUGCCUGAGAUCUGGCCAAUGGAAUCGUGGACAGUUCUCCAUGCUCUUUCUCCUUCUGUGGCAACUCUGAAUGUCGUGUGUUCAAGAUGAAGACAGAAGAUAGAAUGACCUUGGGUCUCUGAAUCAUUGCUUGGAGAAGAGCAAUUUACUGAUCAGUGGUGUGAAAAUAAGUAAUUCAAAAUCUAAGCUAUUGGGCCAGGUGCAGUGGCUCACGCCUGUAACCC
rnacentral:lncRNA from 1 species